UACAGAGGGGGCAAGCGUUAUUCGGAAUUAUUGGGCGUAAAGGGCGCGUAGGCGGCUUGGCAAGUGGAAGGUGAAAUCCCUCGGCUCAACUGAGGAACUGCCUUCCAGACUGCUUUGCUUGAGUCCGGAAGAGGAGAGUGGAAUUCCUGGUGUAGCGGUGAAAUGCGCAGAUAUCAGGAAGAACACCCGUGGCGAAGGCGGCUCUCUGGGACGGUACUGACGCUGAGACGCGAAAGCGUGGGGAGCGAACAGG
rnacentral:rRNA from 1 species